CCUACGGGAGGCUGCAGUGAGGAAUAUUGGUCAAUGGGCGGAAGCCUGAACCAGCCAAGUCGCGUGCAGGAUGACGGCCCUACGGGCUGUAAACUGCUUUUAUACGGGAAUAACGCGCCUUACGUGUAGGGCUUUGCAUGUACCGUAUGAAUAAGGACCGGCUAAUUCCGUGCCAGCAGCCGCGGUACUACGGAAGGUUCGGGCGUUGUCCGGAUUUAUUGGGUUUAAAGGGAGCGUAGGCCGCAUGUCAAGCGUGCUGUGAAAUGUCCGGGCUCAACCCGGGCCUUGCAGCGCGAACUGGCGGGCUUGAGUGCGCGGAAGGCAGGCGGAAUUCGUCGUGUAGCGGUGAAAUGCUUAGAUAUGACGAAGAACCCCGAUUGCGAAGGCAGCUUGCUGCAGCGGAACUGACGCUGAUGCUCGAAAGCGCGGGGAUCGAACAGGAUUAGAUACCCGGGUAGUC
rnacentral:rRNA from 1 species